AUCAGUCGUGUUUACUGAUUCUGCAAGUUGUCUCCAAGCAUUAGAGGCAGGGAAAUCAUCUCACCCCUUCAUCCUAGCACUGGAAAGAGUAGCGACAGGAAAAGACGUUAAAUUUUGUUGGAUACCGGGACACUAUAAAAUUUUGGGGAAUGAAAUGGCAGACCAUGCAGCGAACAACGGACGGCGAAGUAGGAGAGCAACCAACUUUGUACCAGCAGAGGACAUCGUAAGAUGGAUGAAUAAAUGGACUGAUCAACGCUGCAGAAAAGACCAAAUCGUCCUGACACGUCUGCGCCUUGGACACAUCUGGCUAACAAAACA